rnacentral:lncRNA from 1 species
GCUCGUGGCAUUGUGACUGAGACCUUGUGAUGCUGCUGGUAUUACAUGUGUUUCCCAACGAUCUUUGUUUAUUUUUGCAGGGUUAUUUUUUCAAUCUUGCAUGAUGAAACAUUGGUGAUGUGAAAAAUAGUUCUUUAACAAUUGCUUAGUAAUAUGGUGCUAUUUUAGACUCUCAGACCGUCAUUCUGGGUAACAAUUCAUUCUUCCUUCUUUCCAAAAGAAGCAAAUACGAAGGUUUCUGGAAAAGCUUUGCGUUGUGUGUGAGAGCUAUGGAGGAAAGGCAUCAUUAUGGAGGAAUCCUAAUUGUAAAUUGAACCACAUAAUUUUCUCCAUCCCCAAAUUAGCAGUAUAAGCAGGUUACUUCUUUUCCUAGCCAAGA